CAGUCAUGCGCUUCACCCACUCUCUCCACAACGCCGCUAAGGACGCCCCUGCCACUUACCUCUUUCUGUGGAAGAGAUGCAUGCUCCCAAACGUUAUAUAAUCCUUCUUCUGGUUGUCAUGCGUAUGACAGUCAUCCUCGGUUGGCCUUUCCAAUUUAAGGAUCUUUGCAUGGCAUGUGGUUGUCCUAACCCUUCUCAUCGUGCCUGCCUCGUUCCUCGGUCUCCGUGUGUAUGUGAUCAUGGUGUGCUACGUGAUAUGACGACCGCCAAAUGCGUUACCAGCAAUCGAAACUGUAGAUGGCAAUAGGACAGCGGCUAACAAGGCAUAUUGUGGCGAUUCUUUCCGUUGGCGCGGCUCAGACCUCUAACCAGCAACUGACACUGAAUUCCUGAAAAUAAAAUUUUGUGACACUCCUCUUAUCUUCAGCCCGCCUGAUGUUCUCAGCAGUUGCACGUCCUGAAACAAGCCUGUACCGGUUUGCUACCUCGUCGCAUUUAAAGAUCCUUGCAUGGCAUGUAGUUGUCCUAACCCUUCUCAUCAUAUCUGCCUCGUUCCUCGAUCACUGUGUGUCUGUUAUCGCGGGGUGCUACAGGAUAUGAGGACCGCCAGCUGCGCUACCAGAGAGCGAAGCUGUUGAUGGCAAGCAAACCACGAUUAGGACAGCGGCUAACAAGGCAAAUUGUGGUGAUUCUUUGCGAUGGGCGCCGCUCAGACCUCUAACCAGCAACUGACACUGAAUCCCUGACAAUAAAAUUUUGUGACACUCCUCUUA